GAAGGUUGUCUAUAUCUUGAAGGAACAAUAAUGGCAGGCUCUCUUGCAGACUUUCGGUUCUCUUCUUUAGCCAUGGCUAAACUAGGAACCACACACUUUGAAGGUACCGGAGAAGAUGAUCUUUUUGCUUUUCCGGCAGGUCCAUCUAACUUUUUACUCGACAAAUAAGCAGCAAUAGGAUCACCAGAGGCAUCUGAAUCGGAAACAGUCUGGAUCACGAACUCUCUUUUAGAACUCGAAAUCCUAGCAAUGAGCUGUUCAGGACUUCCAACAAACGGAUGACGACCAGCAAUCGGACGUACUCCAGAUGCUCGUGGUACUGGAGAAUCAAACUCGAACUUAUCAACAUACACAAACUGCCCUAACUGUAAUCGAUUAGUGAGUAUGAGAUCUGUGUCCCGAUCAGAUAACGAGACGUAAGUUGAGUUAACCGAGUCAGAGAGAGAAACAUAGAAGCCAUGGUUAGGCCAGAGGUCAUCUGAGCCUGCUGCAAGAGCAGGAACAAUUCCGAUGACCUGGAGAAGAGGGGAGCGGUGGUCGCCGGUAACUCGUGUGGUGGUGUUCAUCGUCUGGAGGAGUUUUAACAAGAUUCCUGGUGUUAGAGACGCCAUUGAAAUGGAAUUUCAAGGUUUGAGGAGAGAAUUAGGUGUGAAUUUGGGGGAAAUGAGAGUAGGGUUUAGAUAGAUAGAGGGUCGGGGAGGAAGAAGCCGUUACGAAGAUCUAAUUUUGAAAAUGGGGAUUGUAAUUUUGGGCGCAGUGAAUGAUUGAGAUGUAUUUUGAAAUUAGUGGUGUGGAUGUCACUCGUGAAGGCAACGGCUUCAGACGCCGUUAAGUCCUUUGUACAUUUGAAAUUGGUAAACAGAAAUUUUAUAAAUGGUCCCUAUGGUUUGUCACAUUCAUAA